UGAACGCUGGCGGCGUGCUUCACACAUGCACGUCGACCGAAGCACUUUAUUUGAUUUCCUUCGGGACUGAUUAUUUUGUGACUGAGUGGCGGACGGGUGAGUAACGCGUGGGUAACCUGCCUUGUACAGGGGGAUAACAGUUGGAAACGGCUGCUAAUACCGCAUAAGCGCACAGCAUCGCAUGAUGCAGUGUGAAAAACUCCGGUGGUAUAAGAUGGACCCGCGUUGGAUUAGCUAGUUGGUGAGGUAACGGCCCACCAAGGCGACGAUCCAUAGCCGACCUGAGAGGGUGACCGGCCACAUUGGGACUGAGACACGGCCCAAACUCCUACGGGAGGCAGCAGUGGGGAAUAUUGCACAAUGGGCGAAAGCCUGAUGCAGCGACGCCGCGUGAGCGAAGAAGUAUUUCGGUAUGUAAAGCUCUAUCAGCAGGGAAGAUAAUGACGGUACCUGACUAAGAAGCACCGGCUAAAUACGUG
rnacentral:rRNA from 1 species